rnacentral:rRNA from 1 species
GACAGGAGGAUCAAGCGUUAUCCGGAAUGAUUGGGCGUAAAGCGUCUGUAGGUGGCUUUUAAGUCCGCCGUCAAAUCCCAGGGCUCAACCCUGGACAGGCGGUGGAAACUACCAAGCUGGAGUACGGUAGGGGCAGAGGGAAUUUCCGGUGGAGCGGUGAAAUGCGUAGAGAGUCGAAAGAACACCAACGGCGAAAGCACUCUGCUGGGCCGACACUGACACUGAGAGACGAAAGCUAGGGGAGCGAAUGGGAUUAGAACCUACG